ACGACUGCAAUGUAGAUCUCUACGAAUAAGUUUCUAAUAGGGAGGAAUUUCAAACGAACGUUAACGAAUAAGUUUCUAAAGAGGAAUUUCAAACGAUCGUUGAAGUUGAGAAAGAAGAAAAUAACGGCUCGAUACAAUCAAAUCAAAGAAAGACAAAACCUGAGGAGAGACGCCGCAAAUUUUACUUAUUGUCGCACAAGUCCUGGUGAUGGUGUCGCGUUUUGAUGUCAGGUGUCGUUAAAUUACAUUCCGACUUGUAACUACACCGACUUUGCAACCAGAUUCUUCGCCAUUUCCAAUUGGAAUGAUCAGUUUAGAGUUCCACCUGCAGACGGCCAGUUUGCAUGUCCUUCACGCUUGAAGGUCACGGUGAAAAUUACGUGUAAAACUGUCAAUGCGGUGGUGUAGAGGUUGGGUGAGAACUGGACGUGUUGCAUCCUUAUCAAGCAGACCCAUUCCCAGCCACGACAACCUGCUGAAGGAAAGGCACGUAAAAGUUUUCAUGCAGUGGUGUAGAGGUUGGGUGAGAACGGGAUGUGUUACAUAACCAUUUGGUAUUCAUUUUGAUUUUGGUUGUUGUAGACCCAUCCCCGGCAACGUCAACCUGCAAAAGGAAAGGGCGGUCCGCCUAUCCUUCACAUUCGAAGGUCACGGAGAUCAUUACAUAAAACGUGUCAUGCAGUGAUGUAGAGGUUGGGUGAUAACGGGGCGUGUUUCAUAAUUUUCAAGCAGGUACAAUAGCCGCAAGGCUUGAGAGGUGAGGGUGACAAAAAAAUCGUAUAAAAAGGAGAGAGAAAAGGCCAGAGACAUCAGUCGAGUGAACAUCUCCGACACGGCAACAAUUGCAGCGCACUAUCUGUCACCAUCUGCCUUCUUCACCGUAUUGCCAGUUCGCAUCCAUGGUUAAUAAGGCGUCAUAUGCUGUUGGGUGUUAUCGUUGAUGGAUGGGUCGAACACUGGUGUACCGAUGUCUCCUUGGUAUGGCGGAAACCAAACCGCGCCGCCGCCUUACUAUCCAAAAGCAACUUACGCAACGACCAGUUACUGCACCGAGGUCUACAAGUACUACACUACUAAGGCACCGGAGUUUUAACCACAACUUACGCUGCCCUGAGUCACUACACUGACGCCCUGAACCUACGCUACACCACAGCUCCCAAGUACUACACAGAAGAAACCGCCUAUUACACAACAACGUAUGCUGCCUAGUUUACUACACCGAUGCUCCCAAUUACUACAUCACUAAAGCACCGGAAUUCUACACGUGUAUACAUGCUGCCCCUGCCUACUACAUCGAGGCCCCGCAUUACUACAACACUGAAGCGCUUAAGUACUACACUACAACCUACGCUGCCCCGUGCCACUACACCUACGUCCGGAAGGAUUACUGUGCGUAAAAGGAGUCGUUGGGAACAAAGAAGUCGCGCCCGAACUGCAGUGCCCUAUCUGUCACCAACUGCAUUCCUCAUCGUGUAACCGUCACAAUUAUGGUCAACUAUGGUGUCGUGCUCCUGUUGGGUGUUGUAUCGUCGAUGGCUGGGUUGAUCGCUGGUGUAGCGAUGUCUCCUUGGUAUGGCGAAACCAAACCGCAAUGCCUCCGCCUUCCUACAUAACUUGAGCAACGGCCAGUUCUUGCGCCGAUGUCUUCAAAUACUACACCACCAAACCACGAAAGUUUUAUACCACAACUUACGCUGCACCGAGCCACUACACUGACGCCCUGAAGUAUUACUCUGUCCCGAGUUACUACACCACCAAGGCGACGGAGUGCUACAUCACAUGACUACGCAUGCUGCCCCACUUGCUACACCGAGGCUCCCAAAUGCUACACCGAGGCUCCCGCCGAUUACUCCACCAAAACGGUCGAGUACUACACCGAAGCGGCAAAGUACUUCUCUGCCCCGAUCUACGCAAGCAAUUGAGGCGGCCAAGUAUUACGCAGUCUCCACUUACUACACAGAAGCUGUUCUUUCGUACUACGUUGAACAGAAAUACUACAGUGAUGCUCCAGUCCACUACACCACGACCUACGCUACGCCUAGCUACAACACCGCAGCGCCCAAGUACUACACCGAAGAAUCCGCCUAUUACACAACUACGUACGCUGCCUAGUUUACUACAUGAGGAAUUUAAGUAUUACCCUGCCCCAAACUGCUACCAAACUGCUACCAAACUGCUACCAAACUGCUACCAAACUGCUACCAAAGUGAGGUUCAUAUGUAUACAUCAGUAAUUCUCCCGACUUUGUCACCUUCGCUACGUCGACCUAUACACCGAAGUUGUGAAGUAUUUCUCUGGAAGUGUUGAAAGAUUGCUGAAAUACAAGAUUGAUUGA